UCUCCAUCACUCUCGCUCUCUUUCUUAUCUCUCUAGAAGAAAAGAGGUGCUGUUGUCCCUCUUUUUGGAGGUUGGGAAUCCGUCUUCUCCAAGCUUGAAAAAGGUGGAGAGCUUCAAGAGGAAGAUCUAGGAGGAAGAACUCUCUCCCACAUUUGGAUUGCAAAAAGAGAAGUAAGUUGGCAUUUUAGGAUUUUGGUUUUAUGAUUUUUCCAAAUGAGAAUAUUUUAGAACCAUUUUUAAAAUUUUUUUGGUGUUUUCAAGAGAGUUAGGUCAUUUCUUUGUUGAAGAUCCAACCCAGGUGGUGAAUAUCACUAAAAAAAAGUUUGAUCUUCCCUUUAUCUUUAGAACUUUUGGAUUAUUAGCAUGUAUUAUUGGUAAUAAUUAAACUAAAUGUAAUUUUAGUUACAUGCUAGAAAAAUAGAAUUUUCGACCCGGGCGGAAAGGCCUCAGCGGCACGGAGGAGUCAGAAAUCCCCUUCCUCCAUGUUAUCCACCUAUUGCACAUUCUACGAGGUGCUAUCGUCAGUUUUUCUAAGUUAAUCUGCAUAAAAAAAGCCAAAACUUGCAAUUCAAAUUUAGCGUGAACAAGAUAAAAUAAAAACAUUACACCAUAUUCCUUCAAACUAUUUAUACUAGGGCCAUGUUUGAAGCACCGGAUUAGCACGGGAUUGGAUUAAACUUAAUCCGAUCUAGUUUUGAUCUGGUAUUUGGGUGUGAGAUAGCAUGGGAUUACUCAGAUCUGGUCUAGCCCAACUAUCUUGCUCACAUGGCAUUAGUCAAUCCCGUGGUGAGGGACGAGAUUAUUCCAACUAAUUAAGAUGUUUCACCUGUCAGCUGGUUCACUUCUCUUUUCUUAUCUCUUCUGCUCUCGUCCAUAGUUAGUUAAUUCGCGAAUUAUUUACGAAUUUUAAAAAAUUUGAAUAAAAUAGUCCAUAUGCAAUUUAUUCUCAAAAAUUCAUAGUAAAACGUGAAUUUUUGGGUUAAAUUUAUUAUUCGCGAAUAAUUCAUGUAUACUGAACUAUUCGUCUAAAAAAACACACAGAAUUUGUGGAUAAAAUUCCUUUCUCCAUUAUUCACGAAUUAUUAUCGAAUUAUUUGCAAAUUAUUCACGAGUUAUUGAAAAACUUCAUGGACUUUUGGAAUAUGUUGAUCGUGAAAAAGAUAAAGAAGAAAACGGCAGUGAACUUUGAAAUUGCUCAUUUUACUUAAUCUGUUUUAUUUUGUACCUCUCUAUUUUUAUAUUUUUUUAACUAUUUAUAUUAAUAGCAUAAAUCUAGAGAAAAAAUUAAAUUUAAUAACCGAAUUUUUUGUCCUAAAUUUUUAAUUAUUGAAUGUAUAAUUUUCAUAUAAAUUACGUAACUAAAUAAUUGGUGAACCAUUUUUUAAGCCGUAUUUUUUAACUUAUUUAAAAGGGUUAAUUUCAUACAUGUCCUUGCAAACAUGGUGAAUAGCAGAUAUAUAUUCUACAAAGUUCAACUUUCAUAAGUUAUCCCUGCAGAAUCCCUAAUGUAUUCAGAUAUGUCUCUACCGUUAAAAUCUGUUAGAGAAAUCUAGUUAACCACAGUUAAAAUACUUAACCAUGAUUAGUUAAUAAGAUAAAAUGGCAUUUUUACCCUUCUUCCUCUUCCCCUUCCUCUUUUUCCUCUACUUCUUCUUCCUCUUCCUCUUCCUCUCCUGCUUCUUCUCCUUCCUCUUCUUCUUCGUAUCCUCAUUUUCCUCCUCCUUUUCUCCUCCUCCUUCUUCUUCGUUGUCGUCGUCGAUGAUCCAAUCGUCGUCACCGUCGUGGUGCCCUCGUGGGCCGUCGACACGGGCGCCUCCGACGGCAUCGGCCGCGCCUUCGCCUUCCGCCUCUUCCUUGUCCUCGUUCGCCGCAACCCCGACAAGCUCCCCAAUGCCGCCGUCGCCGCCGUCACCAUCCGCUCCCACAUCCUGAAGAGGAAGAUGAAAAUGGAGAGGGCAAGGGCAAAAUAGUCAUUUCACAACUCUACUGUUAAAAAAUUAACAGUUCUCUAAUAGAUUCUAACCAGAGGGACAUAUCUGAAUAUAUUAGGGCUUUUGCAGGAAUAACUUAUGAAAGUUGAACUUUGCAGGAAUAUAUCUGUUAUUCGUCAUAUUUGUGGGGACCUGUAUGAAAUUAACCCUAUUUAAAAAUUGGGAUACAAAUUUAUUAUACCUAUACUACAUUUUUGCCAAAUCCGAAUUAACUAACGAUGCUCUCCUGUUUAGGCAUGCGCAUCCUCUACUCCUAAUUCAAAUUUAAAAUUGAAAUCUACAAUUUGAGUUUUAUUGAAAUUCAAUUUUAUAUUAUAUGUUCAAAAAUUAAAUAAAAUAUCUUUAAACCAAAGCUUGUCAUUUAAAGCUUGAAUUUGAAUUGAAAUCUAACCAUUAUGAGGUAGCUAAUGAGACAUCCUUGAUGGAAUGUGCAAUUUGUUCAAAAUUGAAUUCAAAUUUUUUAAGAAUUUCAAUUUUGAAAGCACAAUUUGAAUUUAAAAUUUUAUUUUGAGUUUUCAUUUCAUUUCAAGUUGUGAAUUAUUAUAUUUUGAAAUACAAGUUUGAUAUGAUGUAUUAAGUAACUUUUAAGAAAGAAAUUUUGAAAAGUGAAUUCAAUUUAGAAUUUAAAUAGUUUGUUCUAAGGGGGAAAAAAAUUAGAGUCCAAUCCUGCCUCUUAUCCUAGACACACCAAACAUAGGAUUGGAUUUAUUAUUAUUAUUAUUAUUAUUAUUAUUAUUAUUUUAAGAGAAAGCAAUAGGCAUAAGACCUGCAUUAUAUUAAAAAGAGUAAAAUUUACAUAGGAUUGACUUCUAAUUAUCCAAUUCAAUCCUAACUCUAUCCCUAUCCAAUCCUCUUUAAUUAUCCUAUAUAUCCAAUCCAAUCACAGAUGCCAAAUAUGUCCUAUAACUUUACAUAUCUAAUAAUAGUCAUCCUCCAAUUGAGCCUAUAAAUUAAUAUUAGGAUGAAGUUUGGGCAUGAGCUCUAAAUUUAAGCUCACAUAGGAACUCAAACUCGUAACCUCGUGCUCGGAAGUCAAUUAGUAUAUCAUUAGACAGCUAGCGGUUUGGUGAUUUUGGGAGUGAUUUUGACUCCAUUAGAGUCACAUCUAAAAUUUCAUAUUGUCUGGCAAAUUCACACUACAUGUUAAUGCAUGUAUUAACAGUUUGUUAGAGCAACAUAAACUAUGAAAAAUCUAUAGUCCUAUUGCCUUAUUCUUGUACGAAAUGACCACUCAGUCGUAAAACUGUUGUUGCAUAUAUAUAACUCCAAUCAGUAGAGCAGAAAAUAUCUUUUUCUAGGUGAAAAGAGAAAAAGAAAACAAACUAUCCGUUUCGUUCAUCUUUCUUAGAAAUGAACUCGACUAGUACGAACUAGUUAGAAUUUGAACUCCGAAUCAUGAGUGUCAACAAUUUUAAGUCAUUAACUAAUUUGGCGUUUGGAAGUGAAAUAUAUGCACAGUUGAAUGUCACCGACAAAAUAUUUUCCGCUAACUUCUUCUUGACAGUGGCUCAAUCUCCAAAGAAGCAUUCUAUCGGAGGUUGCUGGGGCGCUCUAGAAGUUUCUACGCAGAUCUCAAAACUAUAGCUGCGGAUGCUAAAGGGUUAAGAGUCCCUUAGAGUUUCUACGUAGGCAAUAAUUAUUGUCUCUUGGGAGCUUGUAGCCUCCCUAUUUGCCAUGUAAUUAUGCGCCAUUUGGCGCCUUUUCAUUUGUAGCCUGGGUAUAGAGUGGCCUAUAUAAGUUUGUGGCCUCCGCCCCCUCAGAAAAUCAGUUGUGCUCUCAACUUUUAUCAAUACACAAGAUUCCUCAACUCUCUCUCUCUCUCUCUCUCUCUCUCUCUCUCUCUCUCUCUCUUAUACUUAGUUUAGGGCGAAUAGUGUUCGCUUAAAUGGGCCAGCAUCCUGCCCUGUGGCGGGAGGCCAUGUGGGCCGAGUCAUGUUCGAAAUGGCAUGAGCCUGGGUUGGGCCGAGUCAUGUUCGAAGUGGCGUGAGGCCAGGUGGGCCGAGUCACAAGAGUACUCGAAAAUAAUGUUGGCUAUCUCCAACAUAGCCGAUGAGGAUCAGCUAUUCUUUUUCCUAGAUGGACUUUAGCCGUGGCCGAACAAGGAGUUUGUGGCUCAAAACGUGAAGGACUAGAACUCCACGAUUGUUUUGGCGGAGAAGUUGCCCGAGCGGGAGCGAACUGAGGGCGAUCGAGGUGAACCACCAAAGGCGAGCGAGGCCAAAGGUGGGGGAGAGCACCACGAUCCAGGGGGCGCGAAGGGGCACAAGCCAAACCAUGAUGCUAGGAGGCAUCGACGGAAUCCCGCCCCGUCGCCUGCAAAGAUCUCUUGCUAUGUUUGCUGUGAGAACCAGUGGGCACGGGACUUCCCAAAGAAGGGCAACCACAAAGGAAAGCAGGUUGCUGCAGUCUAAGCUGUGGAGGACAAGAACGUGGUUGAGCUGCCGAGGAUAGGCGCAAUAAGACUUGUCAUUGCAAUUCGCGGUGAACCAAACGGCGACGAGCUCUGCAGGAGGGAGCUCAUGUUUGUCGAUGUGAUCCUCAACGGGAGGACCAUGUGGGUGAUGAUCGAUGCCGGUGCGACACAUAGCUUUGUCGUGGAGGCGGAGGCCAAGCGGUUGGGCCUCACACUCGAGAAGGAUCCGAGCCGCAUCAAGGUGAUCAACUCUGAGUUGCGGUUAAUCGCGGGAGUUGCCAAAGGCAUGGAGAUAGCCAUCGGCCUGUGGAGGGCAAAGGCUAAUCUCACUGUUGGGCCGCUCGACGACUUUGGAGUGAUCCUCAGGAUAGACUUCCUUGUUUCGUCGAAGGCAGCAUCCAUGCCACACUUGUGGGUGCUGAGCUUCCUGAACGAGCCAGCACCGUGCAUGGUUCUGAUGUGUUGGGGCGAGCUGACGAAGGACCAAACUCUGACAACCCUGCAAAUUUAUAAGGAGGUGAAGUGCGGAAAAGCUGAGGAACUCGAGGAGGAUGACUUGAGCAGCGGCGAGACUGUCAAAUUUCAUGAGGCGCUAAAGCAACCAAUGCCCAAUCAAAAAGUGCAAGUCAUUUUGUCAAGCAGGAGUUCGAGGGGGCCAAGAGGUGUUUUGCGGCGUGGUGGAGUGCGCGUGCGUGUCAUGGAGGACAUGCACACUUGGCAGAUUCUUUACACAGCGGGUUCGCUGGUGCACAUGCUCAGAGAGGCAAGGCACUAGGAGCUGGUGCACGGGCAAAGGCGGAUUGCGGUAGCAAGGCACGGGGCCGAUCAGGCACCAAGACACAACGGACUGUGCGGAAGGCUACAUGGACCGAGAGCAGCUCGGCGUGUGACGAGGGCAUCUGUAUGUUAGGUAGGAGAGUUCGUCGCAGACAAAAUUUUUUCCGCUGACUUCUCUUUGAUAGUGGCUCAAUGUCCAAAGAAGCGUUUUGUCGGAGGUUUUGCUGGGGCAUUCUAGAAUCUUCUAGGGGAUCUCAAGACUAAUGGUGCGAAUGCUGAAGGGUCAAGAGUCUCUUAGAGUUUCUGAGUGGGUAAUAAUUGUAGUCUCUUGGGAGCUUGUAACCUCCCUCUUUACUUUGUAAUUUAUGCAUCAUUUUGCGUCUUUUCAUUUAUAGCCUGGGUGGCAAGUGACCUAUAUAAAGUUGUGGCCUCCAUCUCCUCUCCUUAGGAAAUUAAUUGUACUCUCAACUUUUAUCAAUACACAACAUUUCUCAAACUCUCUCUCUCUCUCUCUUGUACUUAGUCUAAGCCGAGUAGGUUCUAACUUAGCAAGUAGAGAGGUAGGCUUGCUCGCUUCGCGAAGAAAGACGAGCACUGCACGGGCUAAACGAGCGAUUUAGCUUAAGUCCGUAACAGAUAGCUGUGGGGACGUACGGGACAAAAUCUCCACAUGUAGAGAUUUUCUAGAAAAAGGCCGAAUCCACUACCACAACUUGAAGCAUAUAAAAUAUCAAAAUUGCCCUAAAACAAGCUUUGAAAAUGUCAAUGCCAUAUUUUUAUUCUUAAUAUGUUAUCUUUUUUCCAUUGAAAGUUUUAAAAUUUCUUUGUUCUUUUCAGAACAAUAGAAUGGGCAUUUUGAUAAUUUUAGUAUUUAAAUAUUUUACAGCAUUUCACUAGAAUAUCUGAUAAAUAAUUUUCUACAGCCUAUAAUAUUUUAAUUUACAACAAAAUCAGCCAAAUACUCUUCAAACUUUUUCUUAUAAUACAACCUUAUAUCAUAUAAAAUAUUUUUAAACAAUAUUUAUAUCAAACAGCUUGGCCAAACAUGCCUUUAAUAUAACAAGUGAAAAGACUACUAUUUUUAUGUGUCGAAAGAUACUUAAGAGGAGAUUAAAUUGGCAGGUCACGCUUAGAUUGGUGGUAGCCAGAGUUUCCCAUCAAUCUUCAGAUCCUCUCUGAACAUUAACUUACAACUGCAGUUCGUUCCAUUCACAAAAAUGUACAACAUUAACAACUUCAUUUAGUCCCAUAUAGCAUAUACGUAGCCUCGGAAGGGAAAACAUAACUAUAACUAUAUACAUUAUACUCAGACACAACACUGCAAACGACAAUCGAUACUAUUAAGCACACAUCACUCGAUCUGGACAUCGAUAACAUUUCGCUCCACAUUCUUCUUAGGUACAGUAACCAGAAGCACACCGUUUUGCAGUGCCGCCUUGACCUGGCUCACGUCACAGUUAUCCGGGAGCACCACCCGCGUGUAGUAGGAGCUCUCUUUCCACCCCUUCCACCAUGCGUCCUCCGCCUCACCGCCUUCCUCCUCCUUCCGCUCCCCGCGCACUACGAGCACAUUGUCGUCCUCCACGGCCACCCUUAACUCCUCCUUCGACAGCCCAGGCACGUCGAACCUGCAAAACAGCCCCUUUUAUUCCCUUAGCUACGUGUUUGAGUCGAGGAUUUAAUAGUAAAACAAUUUUCUGAAAUACAUUAUUUAAAAGGCAUAACAAUUGAUUAACAUAGUAUUAGAACAACAAGAAUUAAAUAAAAAUUCUGAUAAAUUGGAGGGAGUUAAGAGCGCAAUAGAAGUCUAAAGAGACUUAAAAAGAUCUCGUUCUUUGACAUCAUAUAAAAUAUUCCACAAAAGUUAUUAGAUAGCAAAUUUGGUUUCGAUAUUGCUGUUAAUGAAAAUAUUUUUAUCUAUCCCCACACCAUUACUCAACCGUACUCAAUGGUAGAAAAUGGUAUUACAUCUAAUACUCUCAUUCGCUUGUAGGAAUUUUAGGUCCAUCAAAGAAACUUGAUUAAAUUGUAGAAAACAAAAAUGAGGCAAUUUAAGUCUAAAAAUACUUAAAAAAGGAUCUCGAGAUGGUACUCAAGAUUGAAUACCCAUCAAAACGAAUCUUUUUUUGCCCUUUCAAAGAUUAAGCUACUAGAAAACAGUAUAAUCAGUAUACUCGACAAAAACCUCAUUUUCACUUCCUUGUCGUCCUCCAUAACAUCCCAUGGCGUCCUGACAUCUGACCCAAGCCCUGGAUAUGUCAUUGCAUCCUCAAAUAGCUGAUCCACCGUGUCUAGCAUUUGCCUCACCGUUUUCAUCGGAGAGAAUGGAUCAACCAGACCUGCAAAUUUCAUCACCAAGUUCUUCAGCAAAAGUUUUUCUACGAUCUUCUUUAGUAAUUUAAAUUCAGAAUUCAUAUGAGAAAAAAAAUCUCUUAUAAACCAAAAAUAAUGAUAGAAUUUUUUUUCAAGAUAUGUUUUGAACUAUAAAACCUCCAUUUUCACAUUAAAAAAAAUCAAUUUAUAAAACAUAAAUUUGAUUAUCGAAUCAAUUUGUAGUUUUGUGAAUAAUAAGAAAAAUGAAGCGGUCAAAAAAUGAGAAAUAAUUAUUGCUCUUUUAAAGCUUAAAACUUUUUAGUGUUCUGAUAGUAUAUUAAAGAAUGUGAAAAAAUCAUUAUUUUUCAAAAUCUUACACUUUCAAAGAACAGUGUCUUAACAUUUUUAUAUGAAAAAUAGUUCUUGUACACCCCAAAAAGGGGUGCAUAUCUUAUGCUCACAAUUUUAGGGCUGAUAAAAAUCGAAUUGGUUUCUCGUAAAAUUUAAAAAAAUUGAUGUGAUAAGAAUGAUCUUAAGAUGAAGUUGGUGUAAAAUGUACGCCCUACUAUAGGGUGUAUCUGUAGUAUUGCUUGAAUAUGUCUCCUUACAAAGCUACAAAAUUGCAUAUUUGUCCCCACAAAUUAGUUGCAAAUUAAUUUGCAAGGCAAGUUUACUACCAUUAAUUGCUUCUUAUACUUUGGACUGGCAUGCCCUUAGAAAAUUAGUUUUUCCAAAAAUAUUUUAAGAUUUAUGAUUUGUAAUUCACAUCAAAUGAUAUAAAGUUAAAAUAAAAAUAAAAAUAAUAAUAAAUACUAAUGAAUAUAGUUAAAAAAUAAAAGUAUUUAUUUAAGAAUAAUAAUUAUAUAUUUUAUUCAAUAAGAGACAGCUUUAACCGAUCAACUAACGUAAAAAGAAAAUAUGCCAACAAACUAUACUAUACUACUUUGGAGAGAGAUAUUUGAUAACUAAAACUUCAGAAUAAUACAAAUAAAAUUAUAUACCGAUAAAUAUGUAAUUUUAUUGCUUUUUAGGGACAUAAAUAUAAUAACACUAUUUAAAUUGAUAUUUUUAAAAGUUUAAAUUUUUUAAAAAGUUGAAAUUUAAAAUUUUCAAACUUUAAAAAUUUAUAACUUGUAAUCUUAAAAUUAAAAUUUUAUAAUUUUAAGUUCUAGAUUUUAAAUUUUAAAUUGAUAUUUUAAAUUUUUAAAUUUAAAAUUUGAUAUUUUAUAUAUUUAAAUUUUGAUUAAUUUUAAAUUUAAAAUUUAGAACUUUAAAUUUUUAAAUUUGAGAAUUAAAAUUUUAAUUUUAAUUUUAAAUUUUUAAAAUUUAAAAAUUAUAUAUUUAAAUAUAAAAUUUUAAAUAUAAAAUUUUAAAUUUUAAAUUCAACAUAAUAUAAGGGACAAUAUUAAUAUUUUUUAUUUAUAACUACCAACUAUCUUCUUAUUCUAUCUUAUCUAUCUAAACGCUAUUUUUUUAAUUCUCGAGAACAAUUUAAUUUUUAUUCAAACGCAAAAUUAUUCUAUUCCAGACUUAUACCUACACUUAUACCUAUUUCUGAAAUAGACGAUUCUUACUUAUACUCGAACCAAACGAAACUUAAAGUACAAAGAAAAACCAAAAAAGAAAAAGAAAAAAAGGAAGUAUUUCAGUUCUAAAACUUUAAAAUAUGCAAAUAUAUAUAUUCCCCACGAAUUGACUGCUAGUUGACUAAUAAGUUCUGCAGGUUAAUUUAAUUAGACCAUCAUGUCUUUAUAAGAAAUAUCUCUUUUUAAAAAAAUAAUUAAAUGUUAUAAUUUAUAGUUCUCGCAAAAUAAUAUAAAAGUACAAUAAUACUAAUAAAUAAUUUUAAAUAUAAUAAAGAAAUAAAAAAAUAUAAAUUAUCUGAACUACGAACUAUGUUGCAUCGGUUGUCCAUUCUUUCAAAAUUUUUAUUUUACUAUUCAACCUUUCAAUUCUUUUGAUUAGUCAGUCAAGAGCACUCUAACUUCAUAAUUUACGCUAAUUAUUAUUAAUUACUUACUGCUAGUAUACUAAUUAAAUUUAUAAAGAUAAAUGAGCAUCCAAAUUUUUAAACUAGACGUGCCGUCGAGAAAUCAAAUAGAGUGAAAGAUUACAUGGUAAAAUCAAAGUCUUAAAAGUGCUAAUAGCUAACUUAGAAUGAUCCAUAUAUAGUUCUAGCUAGUAAGUUUUAUAGUUUGGGUCAAUUAAUUGCUUAUAUACUCUAUAAAAAUUUCAGGUUUUUUUUAUUUAUCCCACUUAAAAGAGUAAUAUAAAAAUACCUUUCAACAUUUCAAAUUUUUUUAAAUAUAUGCAUAGCGUAGAUUCUUUUGGUCGUAAACGGUUAGAAACAACUAUUUUUCUAUAAAAUUACUAUUUUAUCCUUUCAAUAUAAUUUUUUACCGUCGCCAGCUUUUCUUAAUUAUCUUUAAUUUAAGGGCAAAAAAUUAUUUUAAUUUUUUAGCCUUUCAAAUAUAUCUUUCUACUGUUACCAAUUUUUCUUAUUUGUCCGUAAGUUAGAAGAAAAGUAAAUAUUUUAAUUUUCUUUUAACUUUGGUAAAAAUUUAACUCUGAUUUAAUCUGAGAUAGUUUAACGGGUAUUAAUAGUAGAGUUAUUUUUGAAUAAAAAAAAUUACGAGUGAUGUAUAUUUGAAACAAAAAAAAAUAAUUAAAGAUAUGUAAAAAUUAUUUUAGAAGUUUUUGAGAGCUAUAUAUAGAUACUUAUUUCUUGUAGUUUUCACCCAAAAAAAAACUCCGGAAUAAAAUGGUCAUUUUAUAGAAAAAAAAAAAAAAACACUGACUCUAACCAGUCACGGAGAGAAAUAAAUUUGCAAACGAAGAAAACUAAAAUUUUGUAAAAAUAAAUAAUAUAAUUCUAUCACUUAAUUUGUAGGGAUCGAUACACAUCCUAGUUAACCCGUAAGAUUAGUUGCUUACCGAAAGGAG
rnacentral:lncRNA from 1 species